CAUUCUAAGUAUAACAAUCAUACUGUGAAACUGCGAAUGGCUCAUUAAAUCAGUUGCAAUUUAUUUGAUAGUACCUAACACAUGGAUAACUGUGGUAAUUCUAGAGCUAAUACAUGCUAAAAACCUCGACUUCGGAAGGGGUGUAUUUAUUAGAUUAAAAACCAAUGCCCUUCGGGGCUCUUUGGUGAAUCAUAAUAACUUAACGAAUCGCAUGGCCUUGCGCCGGCGAUGGUUCAUUCAAACUUCUGCCCUAUCAACUUUCGAUUGUAAGGUAGAGGCUUACAAUGGUGUCGACGGGUAACGGGGAAUUAGGGUUCGAUUCCGGAGAGGGAGCCUGAGAAACGGCUACCACAUCCAAGGAAGGCAGCAGGCGCGCAAAUUACCCAAUGCCAAUACGGCGAGGUAGUGACCAUACAUACUGAUACAGAGCUCUUUUGGGUUUUGUAAUUGGAAUGAGUACAAUCUAAAUCCCUUAACGAGGAACAAUUGGAGGGCAAGUCUGGUGCCAGCAGCCGCGGUAAUUCCAGCUCCAAUAGCGUAUAUUAAAGUUGUUGUGGUUAAAAAGCUCGUAGUUGAACCUUGGGCUUGGCUGGCCGGUCCGCCUCACCGCGUGUACUGGUCCGGCCGAGCCUUUCUUUCUGGGGAAUCUCAUGCCCUUCACUGGGUGUGCAGGGGAACCAGGACUUUUACUUUGAAAAAAUUAGAGUGUUCAAAGCAGGCCUAUGCUCGGAUACAUUAGCAUGGAAUAAUGGAAUAGGACGGCAGUUCUAUUUUGUUGGUUUCUAGGACCGCCGUAAUGAUUAAUAGGGAUAGUCGGGGGCAUCAGUAUUGAAUUGUCAGAGGUGAAAUUCUUGGAUUUAUUCAAGACUAACUACUGCGAAAGCAUUUGCCAAGGAUGUUUUCAUUAAUCAGUGAACGAAAGUUAGGGGAUCGAAGACGAUCAGAUACCGUCGUAGUCUUAACCAUAAACUAUGCCAACUAGCGAUCGGAUGGUGUUUCAUUUUUGACCCAUUCGGCAGCUUGUGAGAAAUCAAAGUUUUUGGGUCCAGGGGGA
rnacentral:rRNA from 1 species